rnacentral:rRNA from 1 species
AUUGAACGCUGGCGGCAUGCUUUACACAUGCAAGUCGAACGGUAACAGGUUAAGCUGACGAGUGGCGAACGGGUGAGUAAUGCAUCGGAACGUGCCCGAUCGUGGGGGAUAACGCAGCGAAAGCUGCGCUAAUACCGCAUACGAUCUGAGGAUGAAAGCGGGGGACCGUAAGGCCUCGCGCGAUCGGAGCGGCCGAUGUCAGAUUAGGUAGUUGGUGGGGUAAAGGCUCACCAAGCCAACGAUCUGUAGCUGGUCUGAGAGGACGACCAGCCACACUGGGACGGAGACACGGCCCAGACGCCUACGGGAGGCAGCGGUGGGGAAUUUUGGACAAUGGGCGAAAGCCUGAUCCAGCAAUGCCGCGUGCAGGAAGAAGGCCUUCGGGUUGUAAACUGCUUUUGUACGGAGCGAAAAGGCCCUCUCUAAUACAGUGGGCUCAUGACGGUACCGUAAGAAUAAGCACCGGCUAACUACGUGCCAGCAGCCGCCGUAA